AGCAGCCGCGGUAAUUCCAGCUCCAAUAGCGUAUAUUAAAGUUGUUGCAGUUAAAAGCUCGUAGUUGAAUUUCGGGGUUAGUAGGUUGGUCGUGCCACUGGUACGUACUGGUCUCACUGAUUCCUCCUUCCUGAUGAACUGUAAUGCCAUUAAUUUGGUGUUGCAGGGAAACUGGACUGUUACUUUGAAAAAAUUAGAGUGUUUAAAGCAAGCUAACGCUUGAAUACAUUAGCAUGGAAUAAUGAAAUAGGACGUUCGAUCCUAUUUUGUUGGUUUCUAGGAUUGACGUAAUGAUUAAUAGGGAUAGUUGGGGGCAUUAGUAUUCAAUUGUCAGAGGUGAAAUUCUUGGAUUUAUUGAAGACUAACUACUGCGAAAGCAUUUUGCCAAGGAUGUUUUCAUUAAUCAAGAACGAAAGUUAGGGGAUCGAAGACGAUCAGAUACCGUCGUAGUCUUAACCAUAAACUAUGCCGACUAGGGAUCGGAUGAUGUUAAUUUUUUAAUGACUCAUUCGGCGCCUUA
rnacentral:rRNA from 1 species